rnacentral:rRNA from 1 species
GACGAACGCUGGCGGCGUGCCUAAUACAUGCAAGUCGAACGCAGUGGGGACGGGUGAGUAACACGUGGGUAACCUCCCAUCAGAGGGGAUAACACUUGGAAACAGGUGCUAAACCGAUACUGAUGGAUGAACCCGCGGUGCAUUAGCUAGUUGGUGAGGUAACGGCUCACCAAGGCCACGAUGCAUAGUCGACCUGAGAGGGUGAUCGGCCACACUGGGACGGAGACACGGCCCAGACUCCUACGGGAGGCAGCAGUAGGGAAUCUUCGGCAAUGGGCGAAAGCCUGACCGAGCAACGCCGCGUGUGUGAAGAAGGUUUUCGGAUCGUAAAACUCUGUUGUGAAAGAAGCGGUAUUUACCCAGAAAGCCCCGGCUAACUACGUGCCAGUAGCCGCGGUAAUUC